GCCUCGCCCGGGGCCGGGCAGCGCGGCGGAGCCGGGCCCGGCCCGGCCGCUGCCUCUCGGCUUGCCCGGCAGCGCGGCUCCGCAUUCACGAGCCCUGAAUCAGGCCGGCCGCGCUCGGGCGGGAUUUCCUAGUGCCGGUUCGCAAAAGCAUCUUCUCCAGAUGAAGGACAUGCCAUCCAUCCGGCAGCACUUCACUUAUUUCUCCCUUCGGGACGUAGGCUGAGAUGUCCUGCCUCCGGAAUGACCAAGACUGAGUUCACCCAGUGUUGUCCCAUGCAGUGUUUAUCCUCUACACACAGAGCUGUGACUUUAGAGAUUACAUUUUGAAGUUUUGUGCAAGUGUGUGUAGCUGCUCUGGAAGCUGAACUAGCUUGGGCAUAUUCCUUUAUUUUUGGAUGCAUGAAGUUUCUGGGAUAUGCUUUUGUGAUGACAAAGAAAUGCCACAUCCUGAGAUGUCUUCCCCACCCCAAUCCAAGCCCUAGGUGGAGAGCAGUUGGCUCCAUAAAACAGGACUCAUCUGUGUUUCUGCAAUACCAUUCUGUACAUAAAUAGGUUUGUGACGCUUUCAAUAUGCAUUAAUAGCUGCUUGGCUUUGAAGUCAUGGCUUCUAAAGGAAGAAGAAGCAAAAGUUUGCAUUCUUUCUUGUGCUCUGUCUUCAUCCCUAUGCCUCUUGUAGCUGGAUGCAUCUUGAACUCUUAAGUAGGAGAUGUGGGAUUGAAUCCCCAUUAGGCUGAAGAAGGCACUAAGCCUAGCCUCCCCUCUCUUCUGAGUGCAUUACCCCAUCACUUAUCCAAUGAUAUAUUGUUUCCUCUAGACCUAUUUUAAAAAUGAACCUUGUAUCCCAUCCUUUUAUUUUCAGGAAAAGACAUUUCUGGAAGUGCUGCCGACAGGACCCGGUUUGGGUGUGUUUUGGAAAGGAAUGGGGUUCAUACUUGUGUCUAAGUGUAGAGGCUUUCUUCUUGGGGUUGCCUGCUGGAGAUCAUAUGUCAAAUUCAUGUCACAGUCUGGCCCUAAAUCUGUUAAGACUACCCUGCAGAGGGAGAAGUCUGAGUGGGUGGAAAACAGGGUUGGUUUAUGAUUCAGAACAAGAAAUGUGAUUGUCCUUAUCUUACAGAAAGGAAGUACAAAUAAUACUUGGUCAUAAACAUUUUCGGAGUUAUUAUCCAGCUGCAUAGUUAAUCUGUGUGAACUCCAGCAGUACUGGAUUUUACUAAUGAUUACAUACCAUGUGCAGUCACUGUUUCUUGCUUGUAAAUCCCAUUUCUUUUCACCUGCACAUUCCUUAUAACAUUUUAUUGAAAUUUAGUCAGUUUUGACAAAAAAAUCCAAAUUUAGCUUUCACAACUGGGUAUAGAUCCACUGAGUAGAUUUUUUGUGUGCCUUUUCCUAAAUCCUAAUUAUUUAAAUUAAAAUGGCUGUUUAAAUUAUUUUUGCUGUGUUCAGGCAAGAUGUGCUCCAGUGCCAUGCGGGAUUGCUUUUGUACUGUUCAUUCAUGUACUGUUUGAAUCUUUAAAGAACUGGAUUUUUUAAAAGAUUAGAGUCAGGAUUGCAUUUUCAAGUUUCCACGCAAAAGCAUGGAAUUUAUGUUUGUGUUGAACUGCUUUUUAACAGCAUUUUUUGUGUAAGUAAUUGCAUCUUGGCAUGUUACAAGGUAAACUAAUGAUGCAGCUUCCAGUCCACCAAAGUCCACAAGUAGACAGAAGUAUAUUGAUUCACUGUGUGUAGGAAAGUCUGUCUAUACAACCACAAGGACUAAAAACUGCUCUUAAAUGGCUGUAAAAAGCUCUUUCCCCUUCAUGUUCUUAUGCUUAUGGCAGUCUAAUGUAAAGAGGCAUUGUCACAGAACUACGAAACCAGUUGCUAUCAAUUUGAGAUUAUGAAAAAUAGUUGAUGUUUUAGUUCCACAUAUAGUGAUUUGCAUAUUAUAUAUAGAAAUUAAAAUAUAUUUUCUGAAA